AAACAGAUGGGGGAUCAUGCCCAACUUUGGUAUCAUAGUUGAACAUUUGUGCUUUAUUCCUAUCCUCAGUUGAAAGCACAUCUGUAGGAUGGCCUCAGAACAUGACAGAGCUGUCCUCCAAGCCAUUUUCAACCCCACAACGCCUGUUGGAGAUGUUCCUGGUUUGAACCCAGAGGAAGAACUUACAGACGAUGACGGAAGCUUUGAUGCCCAGCUGCUGAAACAGGUGAAAGAGCGGGAGAUGCAGGGCGUCUCUGCAGCAGAGGCUGGGGACCUACAAGCUGCUUUUGAACGAUUCAACCAAGCCAUCCUGAUGUUGCCCGAACGAGCGUCUGCCUACAACAACCGGGCACAAACUCGUCGUCUACAGGGAGACACGGCAGGUGCUAUUGAGGACCUGGAACGUGCCAUCUCUUUGAGUGGUGGCAAAGGCAGAACUGCAUGCCAGGCUUUGGUGCAAAGAGGCCUGAUACUGAGGCUGGCAUGCCAGAAUGACAAAGCCAGAAAUGAUUUCGAGCGGGCAGCUGCAAUGGGGAGUGAAUUUGCCCGGCAACAGGCAGUGGUUCUUAAUCCAUAUGCUGCUCUGUGCAACCGCAUGCUGUCAGAGGUAAUGGAAAUGACAGCCAUUUCACAAAUGGCAUGAUUCAAAUACAGGAUACUGUGAGGCACAGGUAGAAUGUGCACGUUGUGCUAAACUCUACUAGUUACUAGGGUUUUAUUUUUCCUGGAACAUGUUGACAAGACUCAGACCCUCGCCUCUCUUUUUGACCUCCCCCAUGCCGGAUAAAGCCACAGGCUCUCUCUUUUCCUCUUUCUCAUAGUAUGUGCACACUCUGAGGUGUUCAGACAUGGAGGGAACGCUGUCCAAGCACCAUCCGUCCACUCUGGAAAACAGACAACUAAACUCCCACACCUGCACAAAGAACAACAACAAGAGCUUUGGUUUAGGUUGAAUAUAAUGGCACUCUGAUUUUGACUCGGUACAGUAGGUAGGACAAGCAGAUUGUAAACACAAAUACUGCUGAAAAUCAAAGCAUACAGUAAUUGUAUCUAUUAUUAAAAACAAGUCAUGUUACACCGCGGGGAGUUAUGGUGUGUGAAAAGCCUUAAACAAAAGGGUUUGUAAUCAGCCAUGAAAACAAUAACUUUACCAAUGUACUAACAAGGAUUUUCCAUCUCACAGCUUCCACAUACUUUUUGAGAGGUUUGAACAACAGAGAAAGUGGUGAGUAUAUUGUG